rnacentral:rRNA from 1 species
GGGAAACAACCCAGACCGCCAGCUAAGGUCCCAAAGUCAUGGUUAAGUGGGAAACGAUGUGGGAAGGCCCAGACAGCCAGGAUGUUGGCUUAGAAGCAGCCAUCAUUUAAAGAAAGCGUAAUAGCUCACUGGUCGAGUCGGCCUGCGCGGAAGAUGUAACGGGGCUAAACCAUGCACCGAAGCUGCGGCAGCGACACUGUGUGUUGUUGGGUAGGGGAGCGUUCUGUAAGCCUGCGAAGGUGUCCCGUGAGGGAUGCUGGAGGUAUCAGAAGUGCGAAUGCUGACAUAAGUAACGAUAAAGCGGGUGAAAAGCCCGCUCGCCGGAAGACCAAGGGUUCCUGUCCAACGUUAAUCGGGGCAGGGUGAGUCGACCCCUAAGGCGAGGCCGAAAGGCGUAGUCGAUGGGAAACGGGUUAAUAUUCCCGUACUUGGUGUUACUGCGAAGGGGGGACGGAGAAGGCUAUGUUGGCCGGGCGACGGUUGUCCCGGUUUAAGCGUGUAGGUGUGUGUUCCAGGUAAAUCCGGUUCACUUUAACACUGAGGCGUGACGACGAGGCACUACGGUGCUGAAGCAACAAAUGCCCUGCUUCCAGGAAAAGCCUCUAAGCAUCAGGUAACAUCAAAUCGUACCCCAAACCGACACAGGUGGUCAGGUAGAGAAUACCAAGGCGCUUGAGAGAACUCGGGUGAAGGAACUAGGCAAAAUGGUGCCGUAACUUCGGGAGAAGGCACGCUGACACGUAGGUGAAGUGAUUUACUCAUGGAGCUGAAGUCAGUCGAAGAUACCAGCUGGCUGCAACUGUUUAUUAAAAACACAGCACUGUGCAAACACGAAAGUGGACGUAUACGGUGUGACGCCUGCCCGGUGCCGGAAGGUUAAUUGAUGGGGUCAGCGCAAGCGAAGCUCCUGAUCGAAGCCCCGGUAAACGGCGGCCGUAACUAUAACGGUCCUAAGGUAGCGAAAUUCCUUGUCGGGUAAGUUCCGACCUGCACGAAUGGCGUAAUGAUGGCCAGGCUGUCUCCACCCGAGACUCAGUGAAAUUGAACUCGCUGUGAAGAUGCAGUGUACCCGCGGCAAGACGGAAAGACCCCGUGAACCUUUACUAUAGCUUGACACUGAACAUUGAGCCUUGAUGUGUAGGAUAGGUGGGAGGCUUUGAAGUGUGGACGCCAGUCUGCAUGGAGCCGACCUUGAAAUACCACCCUUUAAUGUUU